rnacentral:rRNA from 1 species
AUGAACGCUGGCGGCGUGCCUAAUACAUGCCAGUCGAGCGAACAGAUGAGGAGCUUGCUCCUCUGACGUUAGCGGCGGACGGGUGAGUAACACGUGGAUAACCUACCUAUAAGACUGGGAUAACUUCGGGAAACCGGAGCUAAUACCGGAUAAUAUAUUGAACCGCAUGGUUCAAUAGUGAAAGACGGUUUUGCUGUCACUUAUAGAUGGAUCCGCGCCGCAUUAGCUAGUUGGUAAGGUAACGGCUUACCAAGGCAACGAUGCGUAGCCGACCUGAGAGGGGAACGGCCAACAGUGAAACGAGACAAGGUCCAGACCCACAAGGGAGGCAGGAGGAGGGAAUCUUCCGGAAAGGGCAGAAGCCUGAAGGAGCAAAGGCGGGGGAGUGAAGAAGGGUUUCGGAUCGUAAAACCUUUUUAUUAGGGAAAAAAAAAUGGGGAAGUAACCAUGCACGGUUUGACGGUACCUAAUCAAAAAGCCACGGCUAACUACGUG